CUUCCACCAAGUUGCCGGUACCUUUUUGAAAGCCGGUUUUUGGCUCCCCAAAGCAAAAGGAGUGCCCGGCACCCCUUUGAAUUCCAGUUUAUACAAUAAAGAAUGCAAGCUUCAUGACGCUCAGGCAUCGAUAUCCAGGUGAAGGAUGGACUUACGACUGCUGGCGCUUCGGGAAUCUUUCCGAAUUACCGACAGCCUCAUCUCCAUCUAACGAAGAAAUCUUAGAGAGUUUUGUUGUUGCGUUGGGAGUUAUCCCAAUUGUCUGACAGGAACAUCAGAACAAGCCCACAAGGACAUCAAGAUUGCGCCUGUUGUUGGCAAGAGCCUUGAGCACCAUACAAGUGGCAGAACUACUUUGUUCAGUUUCGCCCUCAGUUUUGAUGAAAAGCCCCGGAGGGACAAGCCCGAGAGUCUUCCACGCCUGUUUCUCUACUAACAACCACUCGAGAGAACUUUCGGUUCGCCAUGUAUUUAGAGUGCCUUCAUGCCGCAAAAAUGGUAUACAUUUACGAAGAUCCAUGCCUUCUCCAGGGUUCAAACCCGGGCCCUUCGGUACCGCAGUAGGCUCCUUUAACCACUGCAUCUUCUGGGUCGCCUAGUCUAGUUUUGCAUUCUUUUAUUUUUCUUGUUUUCUCGCUUUUAAC